UCAAGUGAAGAAGCGCAUACGGUGGAUGCCUUGGCAGUCAGAGGCGAUGAAAGACGUGGUAGCCUGCGAAAAGCUUCGGGGAGUCGGCAAACAGACUUUGAUCCGGAGAUCUCUGAAUGGGGGAACCCACCUAGGAUAACCUAGGUAUCUUGUACUGAAUCCAUAGGUGCAAGAGGCGAACCAGGGGAACUGAAACAUCUAAGUACCCUGAGGAAAAGAAAUCAACCGAGAUUCCCUUAGUAGUGGCGAGCGAACGGGGAUUAGCCCUUAAGCUUCAUUGAUUUUAGCGGAACGCUCUGGAAAGUGCGGCCAUAGUGGGUGAUAGCCCCGUACGCGAAAGGAUCUUUGAAGUGAAAUCGAGUAGGACGGAGCACGAGAAACUUUGUCUGAACAUGGGGGGACCAUCCUCCAAGGCUAAAUACUACUGACUGACCGAUAGUGAACCAGUACCGUGAGGGAAAGGCGAAAAGAACCCCGGAGAGGGGAGUGAAAUAGAACCUGAAACCGUAUGCGUACAAGCAGUGGGAGCCUACUUGUUAGGUGACUGCGUACCUUUUGUAUAAUGGGUCAGCGACUUAUAUUCAGUGGCAAGCUUAACCGUAUAGGGUAGGCGUAGCGAAAGCGAGUCUUAAUAGGGCGUUUAGUCGCUGGGUAUAGACCCGAAACCGGGCGAUCUAUCCAUGAGCAGGUUGAAGGUUAGGUAACACUGACUGGAGGACCGAACCCACUCCCGUUGAAAAGGUAGGGGAUGACUUGUGGAUCGGAGUGAAAGGCUAAUCAAGCUCGGAGAUAGCUGGUUCUCCUCGAAAGCUAUUUAGGUAGCGCCUCAUGUAUCACUCUGGGGGGUAGAGCACUGUUUCGGCUAGGGGGUCAUCCCGACUUACCAAACCGAUGCAAACUCCGAAUACCCAGAAGUGCCGAGCAUGGGAGACACACGGCGGGUGCUAACGUCCGUCGUGAAAAGGGAAACAACCCAGACCGCCAGCUAAGGUCCCAAAGUUGUGGUUAAGUGGUAAACGAUGUGGGAAGGCUUAGACAGCUAGGAGGUUGGCUUAGAAGCAGCCACCCUUUAAAGAAAGCGUAAUAGCUCACUAGUCGAGUCGGCCUGCGCGGAAGAUGUAACGGGGCUCAAACCACACACCGAAGCUGCGGGUGUCACGUAAGUGACGCGGUAGAGGAGCGUUCUGUAAGCCUGUGAAGGUGAGUUGAGAAGCUUGCUGGAGGUAUCAGAAGUGCGAAUGCUGACAUGAGUAACGACAAUGGGUGUGAAAAACACCCACGCCGAAAGACCAAGGGUUCCUGCGCAACGUUAAUCGACGCAGGGUUAGUCGGUUCCUAAGGCGAGGCUGAAAAGCGUAGUCGAUGGGAAACAGGUUAAUAUUCCUGUACUUCUGGUUACUGCGAUGGAGGGACGGAGAAGGCUAGGCCAGCUUGGCGUUGGUUGUCCAAGUUUAAGGUGGUAGGCUGAAAUCUUAGGUAAAUCCGGGGUUUCAAGGCCGAGAGCUGAUGACGAGUCGUCUUUUAGAUGACGAAGUGGUUGAUGCCAUGCUUCCAAGAAAAGCUUCUAAGCUUCAGGUAACCAGGAACCGUACCCCAAACCGACACAGGUGGUCGGGUAGAGAAUACCAAGGCGCUUGAGAGAACUCGGGUGAAGGAACUAGGCAAAAUGGCACCGUAACUUCGGGAGAAGGUGCGCCGGCUAGGGUGAAGGAUUUACUCCGUAAGCUCUGGCUGGUCGAAGAUACCAGGCCGCUGCGACUGUUUAUUAAAAACACAGCACUCUGCAAACACGAAAGUGGACGUAUAGGGUGUGACGCCUGCCCGGUGCCGGAAGGUUAAUUGAUGGGGUUAGCGCAAGCGAAGCUCUUGAUCGAAGCCCCGGUAAACGGCGGCCGUAACUAUAACGGUCCUAAGGUAGCGAAAUUCCUUGUCGGGUAAGUUCCGACCUGCACGAAUGGCGUAACGAUGGCGGCGCUGUCUCCACCCGAGACUCAGUGAAAUUGAAAUCGCUGUGAAGAUGCAGUGUAUCCGCGGCUAGACGGAAAGACCCCGUGAACCUUUACUGUAGCUUUGCACUGGACUUUGAGCCUGCUUGUGUAGGAUAGGUGGGAGGCUUUGAAGCGUGGACGCCAGUUCGCGUGGAGCCAUCCUUGAAAUACCACCCUGGCAUGCUUGAGGUUCUAACUCUGGUCCGUGAUCCGGAUCGAGGACAGUGUAUGGUGGGCAGUUUGACUGGGGCGGUCUCCUCCUAAAGAGUAACGGAGGAGUACGAAGGUGCGCUCAGACCGGUCGGAAAUCGGUCGCAGAGUAUAAAGGCAAAAGCGCGCUUGACUGCGAGACAGACACGUCGAGCAGGUACGAAAGUAGGUCUUAGUGAUCCGGUGGUUCUGUAUGGAAGGGCCAUCGCUCAACGGAUAAAAGGUACUCCGGGGAUAACAGGCUGAUACCGCCCAAGAGUUCAUAUCGACGGCGGUGUUUGGCACCUCGAUGUCGGCUCAUCACAUCC
rnacentral:rRNA from 1 species